UAUCAAUAAGCUGGAGCAAAAGGGUCCCUGCCUAGCACUAGUAGGAACUUGAAGAUCUCUUUUCUGGUACUAGGCCCUUGCCUAUGUUCCUUGGAACAGGACGUCCUAGAGGGUGAGAAUCCCGUCUGAUGGGGUGUCCAGUGCUUUGUAGAUUUCUAUCGAAGAGUCGAGUUGUUUGGGAAUGCAGCUCUAAGUGGGUGGUAAAUUCCAUCUAAAGCUAAAUACUGGCGAGAGACCGAUAGCGAACAAGUACAGUGAUGGAAAGAUGAAAAGAACUUUGAAAAGAGAGUGAAAAAUUACGUGAAAUUGUUGAAAGGGAAGGGUAUUGGAUCAGACUUGGUGUUUUGUGAUUAUCUUCCCUUCUUGGGUUGUGCACUCGCAUUUCACUGGGCCAGCAUCGGUUCGGAUGGCAAGAUAAUGGCUUGGGAACGUGGCACUCUUCGGAGUGUGUUAUAUCCCUUGUUUGAUGUUGCCUAUCUGGACCGAGGACUGCGGCUUCUGCCUAGGAUGCUUGGCCGUAAUGAUUCAAUACC
rnacentral:rRNA from 1 species